rnacentral:rRNA from 1 species
CGGCGGACGGGUGAGUAACACGUGGAUAACCUACCUAUAAGACUGGGAUAACUUCGGGAAACCGGAGCUAAUACCGGAUAAUAUAUUGAACCGCAUGGUUCAAUGGUGAAAGACGGUUUUGCUGUCACUUAUAGAUGGAUCCGCGCCGCAUUAGCUAGUUGGUAAGGUAACGGCUUACCAAGGCAACGAUGCGUAGCCGACCUGAGAGGGUGAUCGGCCACACUGGAACUGAGACACGGUCCAGACUCCUACGGGAGGCAGCAGU